CACAUGCUCUUAUUACAGAAAGUGGGUUCUCAAACCACACCGGGCACAUCCAGCUUUGUACUGAAGUUGGUUUAGGGAGCAGUCAGAGCCACUGAUGAGGAGCACAGGGUCAGAUACUGGGGUUCACUCAUCCCAGACACGAGCUCCUAGAUGCAUACAGAGCCCCCUCCAUGUGUGGGUUCACUUCCACAUUUGUAAAUGGAGAAAAUAUUGACUCCUACAGAACAUAAUUUACACGAAUAUUUAAACAUGAAAUAGGGUGAUCAAGGCAAAGUGUUUAUCACAGCACAAUUUCAUAACAAGGCAGCAUAUUUUCCAAAUACCAUCAUUGUCCGCAAACUUCUCAGGGCACCGUCUUCUGAUCUGGGUACAGCCUACUCCUCAAGAGUCCCACCCGAGGGCUUGUUAUAUAGUAGGAGACAUGCAAAUAGGGCCCUCCUUCCACUGAUGAAAACCAACCCAACCCUGGUCCUGUAGCUCUGAGAGAGGAGCCUUAGCCCUGGAUUCCAAGGCAUUUCCACGGGGUGAUCAGCCCUGAACACAGAGGACUCACCAUGGAGUUGGGGCUGAGCUGGGUUUUCCUUGUUGCUAUUUUAGAAGGUGUCCAGUGUGAGGUGCAGCUGGCGGAGUCUGGGGGAGGCUUGGUACAGCCUGGGGGGUCCCUGAGGCUCUCCUGUGCAGCCUCUGGAUUCACCUUCAGUAGCUACGAAAUGCACUGGGUCCGCCAGGCUCCAGGGAAGGGGCUGGAGUCGGUCUCAGUUAUCAGUGGUGAUAGUAGUUACACACACUACGCAGACUCUGUGAAGGGCCGAUUCACCAUCUCCAGAGACAACGCCAAGAACUCGCUGUCUCUUUAAAUGAACAGCCUGAGAGCCGAGGACACGGCCGUGUAUUACUGUGCGAGAAACACAGUGAGGGGAGGUGAGUGUGAGCCCAGACACAAACCUCCCUGCAGGGAGGCGGAGGGGGCGGGCGCAGUGGUAUUUGCCAAGGCUCAUCUCCUCCACUUGGACACUUUGGUAUAUCCACGUGUGUCCAUUCUGGUUCAGCCACGGACACAGAACCGGGAAGACAUCAUGGAUUUUCUAGAGGGAGCUGGCUUGGGGAAUCAACGGUUGGAGUAG